rnacentral:rRNA from 1 species
CCUACGGGUGGCUGCAGUGGGGAAUAUUGGACAAUGGGGGGAACCCUGAUCCAGCCAUGCCGCGUGUGUGAAGAAGGCCCUCGGGUUGUAAAGCACUUUCAGUGAGGAAGAACGCCUGGUGGUUAAUACCCAUCAGGAAAGACAUCACUCACAGAAGAAGCACCGGCUAACUCCGUGCCAGCAGCCGCGGUAAUACGGAGGGUGCGAGCGUUAAUCGGAAUUACUGGGCGUAAAGCGCGCGUAGGUGGCUUGAUAAGCCGGUUGUGAAAGCCCCGGGCUCAACCUGGGAACGGCAUCCGGAACUGUCAAGCUAGAGUGCAGGAGAGGAAGGUAGAAUUCCCGGUGUAGCGGUGAAAUGCGUAGAGAUCGGGAGGAAUACCAGUGGUGAAGGCGGCCUUCUGGACUGACACUGACACUGAGGUGCGAAAGCGUGGGUAGCAAACAGGAUUAGAUACCCGAGUAGUC